CAUUAGAUGGCUGAAAGAAAGUAAUGGUCUCUUAAACCAAUCCAUAAUAGAUUAACGCCUAUUUCUAAUGA
rnacentral:tRNA from 1 species